GGCCUGGAACUGGAAUUUCGUGAACGUGCAACAUUUAUGCAAAGUGGUGCUGACUCAUAGCCACAUGCUAACAUCCCAUCAGCGUAGAAGAUCUAUACUGUGAGUGAAGACAAAAAGUUCACCAGAGAAAACCUCAACUGGACCAUCACAAAAAUAUUCAUAACAGCAAACUGAAAAAGACAUCUCCCAGCUGACCAUGGAUAUUUUAAAGAAGCUAACAAAGGCAAAGUAGCUAAAGCUAAAGCUAGCAGUUAGCAGCAAAGAAUGAAAGCAGUUAUGAGGAAAAUUACAGCUGUGAGGAAAAUUUUGACUGAGAACACCUGCUUGUGGGGUGAUUCUAGGAGGUCGAGGCUGAGGAGCUACAGCGAUGGAGGGAUGAAAGAACCGCGAGAGAGGGGUUGAGGAGGAAGACCGCGAGAGGCUAACAGGUGCUUCCUCUAUGGGACUCUGGGAAAGAAGACGACUGGUAAUUCUCAUGCACACACACACACGACUAUGCACAGAAGAUGAUAGUUUCCAACUCGCCUGCACUGGAGAAGAAGUAAGUCCAGUGUCUUCUCCAAGGGCCCAACACAGUGACUCAUCAGCGAGGAUAGAGUAUUAUCAGCUUUGUUAGAUGUUGCUCAAGUCAAGUUAAGCAUAAUAUGCAAAUAAAGAUGCUUUUUUCAGUUAUAUGCAUAAGUAAAGUCCUGAUGUGUGGUCGUCUGAACUCAAAAUAUAAUUCAUGAGUAAAUGUAGGUAGCAUUACAGUAGACUGUAACAGCUCUGCAAAGAUGUUAAUUUUCUGCAAAAUGUUUAGGCUGAUUUAUGGCACGA